GGUCCGGUAGCUCAGCUGGAUACCUGCCUGCCGGCAGGCAGGGAGCACAGCCUUCUAAGCUGUGGGUCAUGCGUUCGAAUCGCAUCCGGAUCACCA
rnacentral:tRNA from 1 species